GGGCAGAGGGAACAGGACGUCCCUCUUGUGAGCAAGACCGGGGUUGGGCGGGCCUGUCACUGGAGACUGCGGAUAGGGGAGCCACAGAGAAGCAAGACCAUCAGAAGCCACCUGCCUACCGAGCCUGUGGCCCAGGAUCCACGCUCUUCUUCGCAACCUUGCUGCUCACCAGGGGCACCUGUAGGGCUUUAAAAACGCCAGAGUCUUAGACCCACCCAGAGAUUUUGGUCUGGGUAUGUCCUUGGGUUUUUAGAGCCCCCAGGUCAGUUUGUUGUGCGUCCAAGGUUGAGAAGCAUUUGACACUGACAUGGUCCCGGUGGGCUUGGGGGGCAGAUGGUGACGUCAGUGGGGAGGCCAGUGGGCAUGGGGUCCCAGCCCCACCAGAGGGGCGUCCAGUGCUCAGCGCCAACAGUCGUUGCUGUGUAAGGAUAAUGCUGCCUGCAGGUGGAGGAAAACUGGAAAUCCUUUCUACAGAAGUUGUUACCCACAGCCCCAGAGAGGGCCACUGGCCCAGAGCAGACGGUCCUCCCCUGAAAGUGCAAGAACCCUUUUCCAGCUGCAGAGCCACUGCCAUUCCCAGAGGGCCAGGAGAAGGGAACUCACCAGUCUGUCUUUAUGGUGCAAAUGAAGAACUGGGAGCCAUUGGUGUUGGGGCCUGCAUUUGCCAUGGACAGGACACCUGCAAAAACCAGCAGAGGUGAGCCAUACUGCCCCAGGAGGCCUCUCACCCGGGAAGUCAUUCAACAGAGUGGAUGGCUCAAACCACAUCGAGAGCAUCUGAAUCUAUAGAUUCUGGGGCCCAGAAGAGAACCAGGCCUCAUGACCAGCUCCCCAGGCCUUGUCUGCCUUUGGGGCCCACUAGGUCUCAACAGGUUGGCCUGGGAGGAAAGCGCCUUAUGAAAGCUCUCAGUGGUAGAGCUGGAAUGGGACCCCCCAGACCUGACCUCUAGAAAUUUUCCACAUUCCACCUUGGGCCUUACAGGUGACACAACACUGGGGUUCUGCUUAAAGACUCUUCCCCACCAAGUUCCUAAAGGAAAGUUUGCUUUGUGAACUGAGAGCUCAGAAUGAGAGGUUCUAGAAAACCUAACAAACAGCCAUGCUGAGCCAACCUCGAAUGUGGAAGGAAGGAAGGUGCAGCGUUAGACAGUGAGCAGUUAUGGGAGGGCAGCCUCCCAGGGCCUGCCAGGCAUGGCAGAGGCCUGGGGUUUCCAGGCUGGGUCGAAGCUGCAGAAGACACUCAGACUGAAGGGGAACGGCAGCCCCCACUCACCUGGUCCCACGUGCUUCAGCGUGAAGUUCUCAUCAGGAAAGCGGCUGCCGUAGAUGGACUUCCCUCCUGUGCCGUUGUGGUUGGUGAAGUCGCCCGCCUGCAAGCACAGCACACUUUCUGAGUGGUCACCACACAGCCGGCAGGGUGCUGCUGCCCUGGAGCUGGGAGGCAGUCCCCAACCCAUCAAGGCCCACCCAGUACCUCAGGCAAAGAGGUCAAUAAAUAUCCAAUGAAAUAAGGACUAAUAAAAUAAUAGGAAAAUAAGCAAAAAUAAAGCUUAAAAUUUUCUGCACAAUGAC